rnacentral:rRNA from 1 species
UACGAAGGGGGCUAGCGUUGCUCGGAAUCACUGGGCGUAAAGCGCACGUAGGCGGAUUGCUAAGUCAGGGGUGAAAUCCUGGAGCUCAACUCCAGAACUGCCUUUGAUACUGGCGAUCCUUGAGUCCGGGAGAGGUGAGUGGAACUGCGAGUGUAGAGGUGAAAUUCGUAGAUAUUCGCAAGAACACCAGUGGCGAAGGCGGCUCACUGGCCCGGUACUGACGCUGAGGUGCGAAAGCGUGGGGAGCAAACAGG